AGUGCAUGAGGGUUCCAAUUUCUCUGCAUCCUCACCAACACUUGAUAUUAUCACUUUGAUUAUAUAUCUAUUCCAGUGAGUGUUAAGUGAUAUCUCAUUGUAGAUCUCAUUUGCAUUUCCCUGAUGGCUAGUGAUGUUGAGAACCUUUUCAUGUGCUUAUUGGCCUUUUGUGUAUCUUCUUUGGAGAACUGUUAAUUCAGAUCUCUUGUUGAUUUUUAAAAAUUGAAUUAUAUGCCUUUUAAUUAUUAUUGUAACAGUUCUUUACAUAUUCUAAAUACAAAUUCCUCCCUUAACUAAUACAUGAUUUUAAAAAAAAUUAUCUCAUUCUGUGGGUUGUAUUUUUGCUUUCUUGAUAUUGUCCUUGGAAACACAAAUGGUUUUAAUUUUAAUUUACCUAUUUUCUUCUUUUGUUGCUUGUGUUUUUAGUGUCAUUUAUUUAAGAAAUCAUUGCCUAAUUCAAAGUCAGAAAGAUUUACGCCAUGUUUUCUUUGAAGAUACUUACAAUAUUAGCUCUUACAUUUAGAUCUUAGGUCAACUUUGAGUUAAUUUUUAUAUGCAAUAUGAGGUAGGAGUCCAAUUUCAUUAUUUUGCAUGUGGAUAUCCAUGUUUCCAAGCAUCAUUUAAUGA
rnacentral:lncRNA from 10 species